UACUUUCAAAUAAAUCAAUCCAAUGUUUCCACGCUGUUGAUUAGAGCUAGUGACAGCAGUGCCUGAGUUUCCAACAACUGGGCUCUGCUGCUCUCCAUUAGGAAAUGAAACGCCAAACUGCAAACAAUGUUACAUUUUAACCUCCUUCACAUGCUACAAAUCAAGUCACAGGUCCUGUUCAUGAAAAGCAAGAUUUACAUCAUAGGAGUGUCAAAACAUAUUUAUUUGCAUGGGACUAUAGGUAAUCAAUAGCAAUACACAUGGGGAUGGCCACAAUUAGAUUUUUAAUUAGGUGCAACCCAUUUGGUUACAUGCUCUGGUGAACAGCAGCCGUUCGAGUCAAGGGACAGGACCUGGGCUGUGGGUUUGAACCAGAUGGAAUGAAUCAGAAACACAAGCUUCUCCAGAACAGGGGAUGUUGCACAGCUCCAUUUAAAUUAGGUCAGCCCAAACAAACCAAUUACACCCAUCAGAUGCCAGUCUAAUCAGCACCAUUAGGAUAAAAUAAAAGUGUUUCUAGGAACCCAAUCAAACACAUGCUGUACAGUGUUGUUAUAGCCCCAGGGGUUUGGACCAUAUUAGUUUGUUGGUGAUGUGGACACCAGGGAACUUGAAACUCUCGACCUGCUCCACUACAGCCCUGUUGAUGUGAAUGGGGGCGUAUUCGGCCCUCCUUUUCCUGUAGUCCACGAUCAUCUCCUUCGUCUUGCUCACGUUGAGGGAGAGGUUGUUGUCCUGGAGCCACUCUGCCAGGUCUCUGACCUCCUCCCUAUAGGCUGUCUCAUCGUUGUCGGUGAUCAGGCCUACCACCGUUGUGUCAUCAGCAAAUUGAAUUAUGGUGUUGGGGUCGUGCUUGGCGUCGCAGUCGUGGGUGAACAGGGAUUACAGGACUAAGCACCCACCCCUGAGGGGCCACUGUGUUGAGGAUCAGCGUGGCAGAUGUGGUGCUGCCCACCCUUACCACCUGGGGGCGACCGUCAGGAAGUCCAGGAUCCAGUUGCAGAGGGAGGUAUUUAGUCCUAGGGUCCUUCGCUUCAUGAUGAGCUUCGUGGGGACUAUGGUGUUGAACACUGAAUGCUGGGCUGUAGUCAAUGAACAGCAUUCUCACAUAGGAUUUCCUUUUUUCCAGGUGGGAAAGGGCAGUGUGGAGUGCGAUUGAGAUUGUGUCAUCUGGGAUGACGGUGUUGAUGUGAGCCAUUACCAGCCUUUCAAAGCACUUCAUGGCUACCAACGUGAGUGCUACGGGGCGGUAGUCAUUUAGGCAGGUUACCUUCGCUUUCUUGGCACAGGGACUAUGUUGGUCUGCUUGAAACAUGUCGGUAUUACAGACUCGGUCAGGGAGAGGUGAAAAUGUCAGUGAAGACACUUGCCAGUUGGUCCGUGCAUGCUCUGAGUACACGUCCUGGUAAUCCGUCUAGCCCCGCGGCCUCGUGAAUGUUGACCUGUUUAAAGUUCUUGCUCACAAUGGCUACGGAGAGCGUGAUCACACAGUUGUCCGGAACAGCUGGUGCUCUCAUGCAUGCUUCAGUGUUGCUUUCCUCGAAGUGAGCAUAAAAGGCAUUUAGCCCAUCUGGUAGGCUUGCGUCACAGGCAGCUCGUGGCUGGGUUUCCCUUUGUAGUCCAUAAUAGCCUUUAGCUCGAUGCGGAUGCUGCCUGUAAUCCAUGGCUUCUGGUUGGGAUAUGUACGUACGGUCACUGUGGGGAGGAUGUCAUCGAUGCACUUAUUGAUGAAGCCGGUGACUGAGGUGGUGUACUCAAAUCCAUUGGAUGAAUUCUGGAACAUAUUCCAGUCUGCUAGUUAAACAGUCCUGCAGCAUAGCACUGCGUCAUCUGACCACUUCCGUAUUGAGCGAGUCACUGGUACUUCCUGCUUUAAUUUUUGCUUGUAAGCAGGAAUCAGGAGGAUAGAAUUAUGGUCAGAUUUUCCAAAUGGAUGGCAAGGGAGAGCUUUGCAUGCGUCUUUGUGUGUGGAGUAAAGGUGGUCUAGUUUUUUUCCCCCUCUGGUUGCACAUGUGACAUGCUGGUAGAAAUGAGGCCACUAGGAGCGCCGCUUCUGGAUGAGCAUUUUCUGGUUUGCUUAUGGCCUUAUACAGCUUGUUGAGUGCGGUCUUAGUGCCAGCGUUGGUUUGUGGUGAUAAAUAUACGGAAAACCCAGCCAACUGCAUAUUAUCCAUGUUGUCAUUCAGUCACGACUCGGUGAAACAUCAGCGAUUACAGUUUUUAAUGUCCCAUUGGUAGGAUAGUCUCGAAUGGAGCUCAUCCAGUUUAUUCUCCAGUGAUUGCACAUUGGCCAAUAGAACUGACGGUAGAGGCAGGUUACCCACUCGCUGACUAAUUCUCACAAGGCACCCUGAUCUGCGCUCCCUGUAUCUCCUACUUUUCUACAUGCGAAUGACGGGGAUUUGUAUGGAACGCCGUUUGGGUCUUAAAGCACGUGGUCAAAACGCGAUAUUUUUAAUGCUGCGUGUGUAAAGUAAGCAGGUGCAGGCGCUAAAUUAACACGUGCAGGCACUAAAUUAACGUGUGCAGGUGCUAAAUUAAUGUGCGCACGCGUUAAAUGAACACCUAUACGCAUCAAAUAAGUGCGUGCAAAUGUGCUAAAUAAACGGCUGCAAGCCGUCCUGCACACGUCAAAUUAACGCCAACAGCUGCUAAAUAUACACCUACACACGCUAACUUAACGGGUUCUUUAAUUAAUAUGCUAAUUUUACCAGCCAAUUUCCCUAGCUCCUCCUUUCAUUAAAUUAGUGUACAGUCAGUUUGAUGCAACAACACCACAAUUGAAGAUGGCGAGAAGGAACUUACAUAUCCGCUGCAAACUUGAUGCCCUUCAGUCCACGUUAAGAAGCCAGUUCCACUUACCGGGCUCCUCAGACUUGGAGAGGAGCUAGAGGUGCGCCUUGUUAUGCCAUCACUCAAGAGCAACUGAGGUUUCUGAUGUCCUGUGCUUUCAGUGUGUCUCAGAUCGACAGUCAAAUGUCGUCUAAGACUUGGCUCUGGAUGAAAAGAUUAAGGACUUGGUGGUUGGGAACGACAAACGUGGACCGGAGGCUGUUCGAUCACAAUUAAGGGCUCUGGGUUCAGAGACGCAGAGUGAGGGACAGCAUGCUUCGUGUUAAAAGAGCCAUGUCGCAGAGGCUGCAUAGAAGGUCAUGUCGUGUUGCUGGACCAAACUCGUUAUGGCACCUUGAUGGAAACCACAAACUGAUAAGGUGGAGGAUAGUCAUACAUGGUGGCAUUGAUGGGUUCAGCCGUCUCAUUGUUUCUCCGUGCUUCCAGCAACAAUCGCAGCAGUACUGUAAUGGAUUGCUUCAUAAAUGCUGUCUCCAGAUAUGGCGUUCCCUCCAGAGUUAGGACGGACCAUUGAGGAGAAAACAACACUGUCUGCUUGAUGAAUACUACUUCUACAAACGAGGCUACACUUGUGGCAGCACCUAUUCCUGUGGCCCCCCCAUCUUCUGCACCACUUCUUGUGGCCCCCCUCCACCAUUCCCUGAGGCUUAUCGUCCACCUUCACCACACUCUUCUGUUGAUGUUGGUGAUGACAAUGAUGUUGACCUCCAAACACUGCUGAAGUUAAUGAGAUGCCAACCGAAUUAACGUGAUGAGGGACAACGUUUAUGAUUGUGCAAUGAGAGGCUUUAAGAGAGCCCGCUUUAAUCCGGAGGCAAAAAUAGACAUGGUUUUUAGGGAUGGUGACGGAAAAGGGGCAGCUGAUGAGGGUGGUCCCUCAAGAGAAUUUCUCUGGCUGCUAAUGAGUGCCAUCCAUUCCUUUGCAAUAUUUGAGGGACCUGAUUGGCAAAAAUGCCUUUCUUGCAACUCUCAAGCACUCUAUGAUGGCGUAUACAAGCAGGUGGGCCACAUGAUUGCUGUCUGUCUAGUACAUGGGGGUGUAAAGACACAUUUUUUCAGAGGCUAUACAGGCAAGUAUAUGGCCUACAACCUCCUGUGCCAGAAAUGAAAGAAAUGGUGGAAUAUAACUUAAGAGAGAAGUUGGAGAAGGUAAGUACUUUAUACUGUGAUGGAUGCUAUGUUACUGUUCAUUUGCACUAAGUUCGAAAAAAAAUAUUAGGGUUGUAGAUGUUCAUGAAGACUUUUCCACAUGGAUUUGGUUUCCUUUUGUUGGCAGUCAAUGUUUUUUAAGGGUAGUGAUAAUCAGUUUAUUUUGCUAAUUUUUCCCAAAACACUGUUCAAUAAACAAACAAUUUAAGAUCCAGUUAGCACAAACUGUUGACGAGGCACAGGAAGCGGUCGAGUUGGGUCCAGUGCGAUACAUUCGUACAUUGGAGAGGGAUGCCAUGGUGGAGUCAGCCACAAAGUUCUACUUAGAAAGCAGGAUAUGGGAUGCUCUUGAGUAGUGAGUCUCAAGUUUAGUUAAAUUCUUCAGGGUUAAUUCAUUGACUUUUUUUACUUUAUAGAUUCAAAGAGGUCUGGAGUGUCUAGGUCUCCUGCCUUACAUGAAUAGACACUGAAGCCUCUUCAGAGAGUGUUUCAUCUACGCUGAGAAACCUCUUUUGGCCAGACAUAGCUUCUCUCUUCAAAGCAGAGUGCUCUCCACAUGGUACCAAUCAAAGAGCAAUAGAGAGAAGAGUCAUAUGUUUCUGGGGGGACUGGCUUCUGGAGGUGGAAGGUUAGAUGCAAAACCAUGAUCAUUGAAGUAACACGGCCCACAUCAGUAAAACAUCACCUAAUCACUCUCACAACUGUGGGACAGCAUUUUAUAGCCUUAUUCUUCCAUGGUCCCCCUAAGAAUGUAAUGGAUAAAUGAAAUCCCAAACUACCUUCACUUAGAGUAUUGUGCUCUCCAACAAGUGUUACUUAUGGACUUUAAUGACCCCCCCUUCCCUUUUUUUCAGGGGGAACACAUACCCUUCUCCAUGGAGAAGGUUUUCAUUUUCACUUCGGGGGUUUCAGCAUUCCUAGGCUGGGAUUGCCAGUGGAGCCACAGCUACAGUUCUAUCUGCUACCACACAGCAAGUGGUACCGGAGCGCCAAGUCUAUGUCCAAGAGGCUUCUAAACAGAUUCUACCCCCAAGCCAUAAGACUACUGAACAUCUAAUCAAAUGGCUACCCAGACUAUUUGCUGCUACUAUCUAUGCAUAGUCACUUUAAUAUCUCUACCUACAUAUAUAUAUAUUAACUUGACUAACCGGUGCCCCCGAACAUUCCCUGUACCGGUAUCCCCUGUACAGUAUAUAGCCUCGCUAUUGUUAUUUUACUGAUGCUCUUUAAUUAUUUACUCUUUUUGUCGUUUUUUUUAAACUGCAUUUUUGGUUAAGGGUUUUUAAAUAAGCAUUUCACUGUUGUAUUUGGCGCAUGUGACAAAUUCAAUUUGAUUUAAAGAAUUCAUUUAAGGGGAAUUAUCCAAAACGUUUAUUGCAUGACUACCUAGUAAGUUCGGAAUACUGCAGCCAAUGUUAAUUGGUGAUGUGUCCCAAAAGAAUUGAUAUUAUUAAAGUUUCCGACCGGAUUGUCCAUCAGCAAAAAAAGUUGUGCAGUGAAAGUUUUCAAAAACAUUACAACCAACCAGAAUCAAUUGGACACAGUAAUAAAUAAUGCAGAUUUAAUAAAUGUAUGAUUUCUUAGUGGGUAAACUGAGCAUUAUGCAUAGUUAAGUCAUGUAUGUCAAGGGACUGUUACAAUAUGUGCAAUGUUACCAUAAAUAAAUCCUACCGUAAAUAUGUACAUUUCAUUUACAUGUGUAAUGGCAAUAAAAGACACUGUAGUUGGUACAUAGGUCGUGGUGGAGCAAGUUUGAGGGUAGUGGAGAAGCACAAGUGGGACUUUGAGUGAAGUAACUGAAGGCAGAAAAGGAUAUCAGGGUGCCCAGGAACUUGAAGCUGCUGAUCAUCUCCAUGUCAAUGUACAGUAGAUGGGAGAAUGGUCAAGUAUCACCAUGUACUUUGUUUUGUUUACGCUGAGACUGUUGUCCUAUCAUCAUUAUGUCAGGUCCCACAGCUCCUUCAUGUACUCAUGUGUACCAUGGUAGUGUCGGGUCCCACAGCUCCUUCAUGUACUCAUGUGUACCAUGGUAGUGUCGGGUCCCACAGCUCCUUCAUGUACUCAUGUGUACCAUGGUAGUGUCAGGUCCCAGAGCUGCUUCAUGUACUCAUGUGUACCAUGGUAGUGUUGGGUCCCACAGCUCCUUCAUGUACUCAUGUGUACCAUGGUAGUGUCACGUCAAUUCUGGGGAUACACAUUCUUAUGAUAAUGUAAAAAAUCGAAAUUUGUUAUUACAGGAUUUACACCCAGAGCCCUGAGUCUGCAAACCAGUUUGUGGGUCAGGAUGGCGUUGAAAGCAGAGCUAUAAAAUAAAAUGCACUCUGACGUAUGUAAAAAUGUAUAAUUGACAUUUGUUGGGACAAUAGGCAAACUGGAGUUGUACAUUGUGCUACACUAUCUAUUGUUCCAGUUUUUUUAAAUUGAUAUCGACUGGGCUGCAGUGGAGAUGGUAAGAAGCAUUGAUAUCAUAGGGACCUAACUUCUAACGUCCUUUCCUGGUACACCCACAGACACUGCAGUCAAAUGCCAACCAGCGGCUCUCCGUCCUACAGUGGCUGAAGAUGUUUUGCCUGACGUCAAACAUUAACAAGAGUGUCAGAUUGAAGUGUCUGGAAAAAACGUAAACAUAACCAUAAGAGCAGAUGACUUUGUCAUCUUUACUGGCACAGUUUAAAAAUGUCUAAUUGUAGUCCCUUUCAAUUGAUUCAUUGACUCCAAGAACCAUAGAUUGUUUGUAGUUCAUAACAUUAACACAGCUGACAAACGUUGCUUGACUGUAAAUUGGGAUACAUGUUUGAAUAACAUUGGAUAUUUGAUUGGGCUUAAUGUUGUACACCUUGUCAUGUUGUGCAUGCAUGCCAACCAGGUGAGAAUCACCAGAAUUAAUUGAUACUUGAUGAAUCAGGUCUUCUCUGCUGCUUUAUCAGCAUCCCCCUUGCCCACUCCAAGCUCCUCUUCAUGGUUCCCUUCUGCAAGACACAAUUGUGGGAAAAUAAAGUGGAAGGAAUGGGAACCCUAUUCCUUUGAAGCAGUACUGUGUAUAUGCCUGAAGUUAUUUUACCCUGAUAAGCUUCGAAGGAAUAUAAAUAUUCAAAAUGUGAACGUACACAUUAAAGUCUACUCUGUUCGAAAGCUGACAUGUAACGUUAGACGUUAGCAAAGGUUUUACAAGGUUGUCACUAGCCAAAUUUGCUUUAUGUGAGCUUUUCUGUCUUCAUGCUAAUCGCGAGCUAGCGCGGCUAACGCUAGCAUUUAAAUGAAAGCCAGUCAGGCUGAAGAAGUUGCUGACCUUAAGUUGUUGUUUUGCUUAAAUACAAGGCUUUGGGCUAAAAACGGAACUCAAAAACAUGUCCUGCUUCAGUACUAGCCGAUAAGUCACAUUUAGGUAGCUUUGAAGGAAUAUAAAUAUUCAAAAAGUGAACGUGCACAUUAAAGUCUACUCUGUUCGAAAGCUGACAUGUAACGUUAGACGUUAGCAAAGGUUUACAAGGUUGUCACUAGCCAAAUUUGCAAAAUAAAGACAAUAGUCCAAAAAUCUAGAACUACCAGGAUUUUGAGCAUCUCCGUUGUCUCAUCUAUGUAUGCCUGGUCCUGCAUUCAAGCAACAAUCUUGCUAGUAUGUAAUUUACCUUGAUGGUAUCAAAAGUCCAAUGUGUUUUCGUGGCUGUUAUAGUUUACAUGUUUUUUCAGCAGGGCUUUUAAUAAAACACAACACGGUGCCGUUCACUGCGGCUAGCAGUAUGACCAGGCAAAGUUUGAGGCUAACUAUAUGAUAUAAUAUGGCUGGGGUUCGAGGCUACCGACGUUAGCUAAAUUAGCUAGCAAGUAUCUGACUUAGCUUAUGCUAAGCACUGCUGAUCCUGGUGCUAGAUUAAUGUUAGCUGCAUUUUAUAGCCAGUGAUGAGAAACAGAUCCUUCCACUGUAAACUAGCUGAUAAACCUUACGAUUCAGUAACAACAAAUUUCAAAGACAAAACCAUUACCUUGUAAAGGUUCAAACUCUGCUUGCAGUGGAAAAGGAAGUUCCUUCAAAC
rnacentral:lncRNA from 1 species